rnacentral:rRNA from 1 species
GCGUGCGGGAAGAAGGCCUUCGGGUUGUAAACCGCUUUUGUCAGGGAAGAAACGGCUUUUGAUAAUACCGAGAGCUAAUGACGGUACCUGAAGAAUAAGCACCGGCUAACUACGUGCCAGCAGCCGCGGUAAUACGUAGGGUGCAAGCGUUAAUCGGAAUUACUGGGCGUAAAGCGUGCGCAGGCGGUUGUGCAAGACAGAUGUGAAAUCCCCGGGCUCAACCUGGGAACUGCAUUUGUGACUGCACGGCUAGAGUACGGUAGAGGGGGAUGGAAUUCCGCGUGUAGCAGUGAAAUGCGU